rnacentral:rRNA from 1 species
UACGUAGGGUGCGAGCGUUGUCCGGAAUUACUGGGCGUAAAGAGCUCGUAGGUGGUUUGUCGCGUUGUUCGUGAAAACUCACAGCUUAACUGUGGGCGUGCGGGCGAUACGGGCAGACUGGAGUACUGCAGGGGAGACUGGAAUUCCUGGUGUAGCGGUGGAAUGCGCAGAUAUCAGGAGGAACACCGGUGGCGAAGGCGGGUCUCUGGGCAGUAACUGACGCUGAGGCUCGAAAGCGUGGGGAGCAAACAGG